AACAACUAUGCUGAGACGAGAACGCAACCAAACACACCCUAAAUCUCGCCCCAGCCGUCUCUUUCCUCCCUGCGCCGCCUGCCCCGGAUCUGGAGGAAGAGGAGGGAGGCAGGAUCUAGAGGAGGAAGAGGAGAUCCGGGCGUCCCGGCGGUGGCUCGACCGAUGCGAGGUGACGACGAGCUAAUGAGUGCCUCUUCGACUCCUUCCUCCGUCCUCGCCGCUGCCGCCGCUCCGACUCCUCUCUCCGUGCUCGCCGCCGCUGCCGCCUCUAUUUACGUCCAUCGGGAUGACGCCGCAGCUCCGUCUGACCGACCCUCAUGGAGGCGGUGCUGCCGGCCAUCGUUCUCAACCUGAGCUUGCCGCCCCCCUGCUUCUGGUGACUAGCAGCUAAAGGAAGGAGAGGGGAGCUCGACGGACUGCGUCUCAUACAGACCCACACGCCCCCUGACUUCGACAAGACCAGCAUUAUAGUAUUGACCCCUUGUCCGCCCCGGGUGCGGAGGCGAGCUUCUCGGCGACGGUGGCACUGGCUUGAGGCGGGGGAGCGGCUGAUGCAGGGUUGGAUCGAGGCAUGGGAGCGGCGGAUGCGGGCGUCGACCUGCGAAGAGGCGAGAGGAGCGGUGGUUGCGGCGUUGAGCUGCGAAGAGGUGCCGCUCGGGCGCGAGACCACAGAGGCGGGAGCGGCUACUUCGGGCCCCGGCCGUCUCAUUCACCGAUGACGGCCUCCUCGGCCUCAACAUCAAGGGCCGCCUUCUCGCAGAGAAGAACUUCAAGCUGAAGAGGAAGAGCGGCGCCGUCGAGUUCGCCUAGACCAUACUCGACUUCAGAAAGGGCCAAGACGUCAGGAUCAAGGCCGGAUACGAGCUCUAUCGCAAGGUACAAAGCUGAAAUGCUUGAUGAUGCGCCUCGUAUAUUCGAGGCUGUUUUCCAGUGUACCCUUGAGUUCUGCACUAUGCUCUGCUGGAUGUCGCCUAAGCAGAGGAUGCGGCAGUCUCGGCCACAUUUGGUUUUCCUAAGCUAAUGUGGGGUUUCUUUCCCUUAUAUUCUUGCAAGAUGUGGUUCUUUGUUGGUUCGUUCGACCAUGCCGUUAACCAACAAGGUUAGGUCUACUCAGAUUGCCUUGGGUUAUUACUUCUUGAUAAUAUAGGCCGUGAACUCCUGCAUUUGUGCGGCUAGGUUGCCUGUCUAUGUGUUUCGGGGUUCACCUUAUUAUGCUUGUCGUGCUUUGUAUGGGUUUUCCUUCAGAUCUUGUUAGAAAAAAAAUGUGUUCUUGAUUACUUAUGCUUGUCUUGGUGGUUUUCUUCCUGGGUGAUUGUGUGCUCAUAUGCCAUUGGUCGAUAUCCAUGUUUACAGAGGAUGCCCACUUUUCUUAAUUUCAUACCGAUUCUUAAUAGUCUUGCAAUGCCUGCUCGGGUUAGUUCUUUAAAUGAGUAGAGAUAAUAAAUGUAUGGGGGUUCCGAUAUCAAAUGUACCACCUGGUUAUUGUUUACCCAACUAAUAUGUGCUGCUUGGUGAUAAAGGAAAAACAGCUAGAAAAAUAAUUAAUAAAGUGUACCAUCUGCUUAUUGUUUUAUACACAGUCGCUUGAUUCUUUUGUUCCUCUAUAGGCCUCUGAUCAUGUCUGCAGUGUGCGGCUAGGUUGUUCGUCCGUCUGGGUCAUAGGUUCUUUCCUUCCUGCCAAUGGUGGGUACAAGACUCGAGCGGUUAACGGGCAAGCACUAUAUGCACCAUUCAUCUAUGCUAAUAUAGCAUGUUUUGUAAAGCCAAUGUAUGCUAUCACCAAGUGAUCUGAAUAUUUUCUUUCAAGCAUCAAGCUUUCGUGUAAUGGAAUAUAAGUAUUUUAGGUUGAUUCUAAAUCAAUCUCAUACACAUGCUUUGAAUGCUGGCUCGCUCUCGCUUUUUGCGUCAUGGUCAAACAUGCAGCGAUGACUUUGUUUAAUAUUUAUCACUUCAUAGCGUCUAUAUGUGACUAUCUACUUUCUUUGCUAAUAACAUUGUAAAUAAUUAAUCAUAAGCUUCUUAGAACAUUAUGUAUCAUCACUAAGCAUCUAUCUACCAGCAAUAAAUACUUAUUUUCAUAUGUUUCAAUAUGUGCCCGAAUAAUAUUAAUGUACAUUCUUUCAAUACAUGGCUUACUCUCGGCCUUUGCGCCAUUGG